GGCAAAUUAUCCUCAUAAGUUAGACGACAAGAGGAACCGCAUUGAGAUUAAAUAAUGAUUUAACUAAUUUGAACAAGAAAGGGAAAUUAUAAACCUUCUCCUGAACUUAGUAGUUUAUCAAGUUGUUUAACUCUUUGGCGAGUGACAGAAAAUCGGAGGCCCCGACUGUUUACUAAAAACACAAUUUUCAGCAAUGAUGAAUAUCAUAGUAUUGAAGAUGAAAUUUGCUCGAUGCCAAUAAUAUAACCCCUCCACCUCACUGACUUUAAAUUUAAAAACUUUUCUUCCCCCAUCUUACAAUUACUUGUUUUUUAACGAGCAUGUUGAAAUUGAGGGAAAAAUUAAAUAUUAAAUAUUAAAAAGUUUUAGGGAAAGGGGGAAAUUCUGGUGAAUGGCGGUCUUAACUAUGAGGAUCCUAAGGUAGCAAAAUAAAUUGGCCAUUAAAUGUGGUCCGGUAUCAAUAAUGUAACGAUGGCCUCACUGUCUCUACAACUUGCUCAGUGAAAUUGAAUUGCACGUGCAGAUGCGUGCGACCUUUAGGGGACGGGAAGACCCUAU
rnacentral:rRNA from 1 species